AGGGCGGGACACGUGGUAUCCUGUCUGAAUAUGGGGGGACCAUCCUCCAAGGCUAAAUACUCCUGACUGACCGAUAGUGAACCAGUACCGUGAGGGAAAGGCGAAAAGAACCCCGGCGAGGGGAGUGAAAAAGAACCUGAAACCGUGUACGUACAAGCAGUGGGAGCACAGAGCAAUCUGUGUGACUGCGUACCUUUUGUAUAAUGGGUCAGCGACUUAUAUUCUGUAGCAAGGUUAACCGAAUAGGGGAGCCGAAGGGAAACCGAGUCUUAACUGGGCGUUAAGUUGCAGGGUAUAGACCCGAAACCCGGUGAUCUAGCCAUGGGCAGGUUGAAGGUUGGGUAACACUAACUGGAGGACCGAACCGACUAAUGUUGAAAAAUUAGCGGAUGACUUGUGGCUGGGGGUGAAAGGCCAAUCAAACCGGGAGAUAGCUGGUUCUCCCCGAAAGCUAUUUAGGUAGCGCCUCGUGAAUUCAUCUCCGGGGGUAGAGCACUGUUUCGGCAAGGGGGUCAUCCCGACUUACCAACCCGAUGCAAACUGCGAAUACCGGAGAAUGUUAUCACGGGAGACACACGGCGGGUGCUAACGUCCGUCGUGAAGAGGGAAACAACCCAGACCGCCAGCUAAGGUCCCAAAGUCAUGGUUAAGUGGGAAACGAUGUGGGAAGGCCCAGACAGCCAGGAUGUUGGCUUAGAAGCAGCCAUCAUUUAAAGAAAGCGUAAUAGCUCACUGGUCGAGUCGGCCUGCGCGGAAGAUGUAACGGGGCUAAACCAUGCACCGAAGCUGCGGCAGCGACACUGUGUGUUGUUGGGUAGGGGAGCGUUCUGUAAGCCUGUGAAGGUGUGCUGUGAGGCAUGCUGGAGGUAUCAGAAGUGCGAAUGCUGACAUAAGUAACGAUAAAGCGGGUGAAAAGCCCGCUCGCCGGAAGACCAAGGGUUCCUGUCCAACGUUAAUCGGGGCAGGGUGAGUCGACCCCUAAGGCGAGGCCGAAAGGCGUAGUCGAUGGGAAACAGGUUAAUAUUCCUGUACUUGGUGUUACUGCGAAGGGGGGACGGAGAAGGCUAUGUUGGCCGGGCGACGGUUGUCCCGGUUUAAGCGUGUAGGCUGGUUUUCCAGGCAAAUCCGGAAAAUCAAGGCUGAGGCGUGAUGACGAGGCACUACGGUGCUGAAGCAACAAAUGCCCUGCUUCCAGGAAAAGCCUCUAAGCAUCAGGUAACAUCAAAUCGUACCCCAAACCGACACAGGUGGUCAGGUAGAGAAUACCAAGGCGCUUGAGAGAACUCGGGUGAAGGAACUAGGCAAAAUGGUGCCGUAACUUCGGGAGAAGGCACGCUGAUAUGUAGGUGAAGUCCCUCGCGGAUGGAGCUGAAAUCAGUCGAAGAUACCAGCUGGCUGCAACUGUUUAUUAAAAACACAGCACUGUGCAAACACGAAAGUGGACGUAUACGGUGUGACGCCUGCCCGGUGCCGGAAGGUUAAUUGAUGGGGUCAGCGCAAGCGAAGCUCUUGAUCGAAGCCCCGGUAAACGGCGGCCGUAACUAUAACGGUCCUAAGGUAGCGAAAUUCCUUGUCGGGUAAGUUCCGACCUGCACGAAUGGCGUAAUGAUGGCCAGGCUGUCUCCACCCGAGACUCAGUGAAAUUGAACUCGCUGUGAAGAUGCAGUGUACCCGCGGCAAGACGGAAAGACCCCGUGAACCUUUACUAUAGCUUGACACUGAACAUUGAGCCUUGAUGUGUAGGAUAGGUGGGAGGCUUUGAAGUGUGGACGCCAGUCUGCAUGGAGCCGACCUUGAAAUACCACCCUUUAAUGUUUGAUGUUCUAACGUGGACCCGUGAUCCGGGUUGCGGACAGUGUCUGGUGGGUAGUUUGACUGGGGCGGUCUCCUCCUAAAGAGUAACGGAGGAGCACGAAGGUUGGCUAAUCCUGGUCGGACAUCAGGAGGUUAGUGCAAUGGCAUAAGCCAGCUUGACUGCGAGCGUGACGGCGCGAGCAGGUGCGAAAGCAGGUCAUAGUGAUCCGGUGGUUCUGAAUGGAAGGGCCAUCGCUCAACGGAUAAAAGGUACUCCGGGGAUAACAGGCUGAUACCGCCCAAGAGUUCAUAUCGACGGCGGUGUUUGGCACCUCGAUGUCGGCUCAUCACAUCCUGGGGCUGAAGUAGGUCCCAAGGGUAUGGCUGUUCGCCAUUUAAAGUGGUACGCGAGCUGGGUUUAGAACGUCGUGAGACAGUUCGGUCCCUAUCUGCCGUGGGCGCUGGAGAACUGAGGGGGGCUGCUCCUAGUACGAGAGGACCGGAGUGGACGCAUCACUGGUGUUCGGGUUGUCAUGCCAAUGGCACUGCCCGGUAGCUAAAUGCGGAAGAGAUAAGUGCUGAAAGCAUCUAAGCACGAAACUUGCCCCGAGAUGAGUUCUCCCUGACCCUUUAAGGGUCCUGAAGGAACGUUGAAGACGACGACGUUGAUAGGCCGGGUGUGUAAGCGCAGCGAUGCGUUGAGCUAACCGGUACUAAUGAACCGUGAGGCUUAACCUUACAACGCCGAAGGUGUUU
rnacentral:rRNA from 1 species